rnacentral:ncRNA from 1 species
AAAGGGCAAUCUGGAGAGCGCCGGCAUUGAGCUGGCCACCGAAGGGGCAGACGGAAUAGAGAAACAAUAUUCCGUAAUCUCUCAGGUAAAAGGGACAGAGGGGUGAGG